rnacentral:rRNA from 1 species
AUUGAACGCUGGCGGUAUGCUUAACACAUGCAAGUCGAACGGUAGCAGGCCUUCGGGCGCUGACGAGUGGCGGACGGGUGAGUAAUGCAUAGGAAUCUGCCUGUUAGUGGGGGACAACGUGGGGAAACUCACGCUAAUACCGCAUACGCCCUACGGGGGAAAGCUGGGGACCUUCGGGCCUGGCGCUAAUAGAUGAGCCUGCGUAGGAUUAGCUAGUUGGUGUGGUAAAGGCUCACCAAGGCGACGAUCCUUAGCUGGUCUGAGAGGAUGAUCAGCCACACUGGGACUGAGACACGGCCCAGACUCCUACGGGUGGCUG